AAAAAAGGUAAGCUACUAAGAGCGAAUGGUGGAUGCCUUGACUGGUAAAGGCGAUGAAGGACGUACUAGACUGCGAUAAGCUACGGGGAGCUGUCAAGAAGCUUUGAUCCGUAGAUUUCCGAAUGGGGCAACCCAGUAUAUAGAGAUAUAUACUACCAUAAUGGAGCGAACGAGGGGAAUUGAAACAUCUUAGUACCCUCAGGAAAAGAAAUCAAUAGAGAUUACGUCAGUAGCGGCGAGCGAAAGCGUAAGAGGGCAAACCCAGUGCUUGCACUGGGGGUUGUAGGACUGCAAUGUGCAAUAAGUAAGGUUAGUAGAACACUCUGGAAAGUGUAGCCAUAGAGGGUGAUAGUCCCGUAUACGAAAACCAAACUUUAGCUAGCAGUAUCCUGAGUAGGGCGAAACACGUGGAAUUUUGUCUGAAGCUGGGUCGACCACGAUCCAACCCUAAAUACUAAUACCAGAUCGAUAGUGCACAAGUACCGUGAGGGAAAGGUGAAAAGAACUGAGGUGAUCAGAGUGAAAUAGAACCUGAAACCAUUUGCUUACAAUCAUUCAGAGCACUAUGUAGCAAUACAGUGUGAUGGACUGCCUUUUGCAUAAUGAGCCUGCGAGUUGUGGUGUCUGGCAAGGUUAAGCACACGCGAAGCCGUAGCGAAAGCGAGUCUGAAUAGGGCGCUUAAGUCAGAUGCUGCAGACCCGAAACGAAGUGAUCUAUCCAUGAGCAAGUUGAAGCUAGUGUAAGAACUAGUGGAGGACUGAACCCAUAGGCGUUGAAAAGCCCCGGGAUGACUUGUGGAUAGGGGUGAAAGGCCAAUCAAACUUCGUGAUAGCUGGUUCUCUCCGAAAUAUAUUUAGGUAUAGCGUUGUGUCGUAGUAUAAGGGGGUAGAGCACUGAAUGGGCUAGGGCAUACACCAAUGUACCAAACCCUAUCAAACUCCGAAUACCUUAUAUGUAAUCACAGCAGUCAGGCGGCGAGUGAUAAAAUCCGUCGUCAAGAGGGAAACAACCCAGACUAUCAGCUAAGGUCCCCAAGUCUUACUUAAGUGGAAAACGAUGUGAAGUUACUUAAACAACCAGGAGGUUGGCUUAGAAGCAGCCAUCCUUUAAAGAAAGCGUAAUAGCUCACUGGUCUAGUGAUUUUGCGCGGAAAAUAUAACGGGGCUAAAGUAAGCACCGAAGCUAUAGACUUAGUUUUACUAAGUGGUAGGAGAGCGUUCUAUUUGCGUCGAAGGUAUACCGGUAAGGAGUGCUGGAGCGAAUAGAAGUGAGCAUGCAGGCAUGAGUAGCGAUAAUUAAUGUGAGAAUCAUUAACGCCGUAAACCCAAGGUUUCCUACGCGAUGCUCGUCAUCGUAGGGUUAGUCGGGUCCUAAGUCGAGUCCGAAAGGGGUAGACGAUGGCAAAUUGGUUAAUAUUCCAAUACCAACAUUAGUGUGCGAUGGAAGGACGCUUAGGGCUAAGCAAGCUAGCGGAUGGAAGUGCUAGUCUAAGGAUGUAGGAGCUUAUACAGGCAAAUCCGUAUAAGAAUACUCCGAGAUCUUAAAGGCUCUUUGAAGUCUUCGGAUGGAUAGGAGAAUUGCUGAUGCCGUCGAGCCAAGAAAAGUUUCUAAGUUUAGCUAAUGUUGCCCGUACCGUAAACCGACACAGGUGGGUGGGAUGAGUAUUCUAAGGCGCGUGGAAGAACUCUCUUUAAGGAACUCUGCAAAAUAGCACCGUAUCUUCGGUAUAAGGUGUGGUUCGCUUUGUAUUAGAAUUUACUUCGAAAGCAAAGAAACUUACAACAAAGAGUCCCUCCCGACUGUUUACCAAAAACACAGCACUCUGCUAACUCGCAAGAGGAUGUAUAGGGUGUGACGCCUGCCCGGUGCUCGAAGGUUAAUUGAUGGGGUUAGCAUUAGCGAAGCUCUUGAUCGAAGCCCGAGUAAACGGCGGCCGUAACUAUAACGGUCCUAAGGUAGCGAAAUUCCUUGUCGGUUAAAUACCGACCUGCAUGAAUGGCGUAACGAGAUGGGAGCUGUCUCAAAGAGGGAUCCAGUGAAAUUGUAGUGGAGGUGAAAAUUCCUCCUACCCGCGGCAAGACGGAAAGACCCCGUGGACCUUUACUACAGCUUGACACUGCUAUUUGGAUAAGAAUGUGCAGGAUAGGUGGGAGGCUUUGAGUAAUAGACGCCAGUUUAUUAUGAGCCGUUGUUGAGAUACCACUCUUUCUUAUUUGGGUAGCUAACCAGCUUGAGUUAUCCUCAAGUGGGACAAUGUCUGGUGGGUAGUUUGACUGGGGCGGUCGCCUCCCAAAUAAUAACGGAGGCUUACAA
rnacentral:rRNA from 1 species